rnacentral:lncRNA from 1 species
UUCUGAGCAAGCUCCCGUACGUUCAACGUAAUUGUAGGGAUUUCGUUCAACUUGAUCAUGGGGAUCUCGUCGGGAUCCUCGUAAAAGGCAUCUUCGAUAUCAUGCGGUGUGGGCUGGGUGAAGAGAUCCUCGAUAUCCCCGAUAUCAGGUAUCGAGUGUUGGGGGGUAGUGCAGACCGGUUCUGGCGAUGAUGGUUCCUCGAUUAUCGGCUCACAGUUCUCCCUCAAUUUUACCGCUGAAAGCUGCAGAUUCUCUCGUUCGGUCACGUUUGAUGCUGGCGUGGAUUCUGUUGAGUGAAUCGGUGGUUGGCAUAUGGUUAGUUGGGGUAGUAGAGAUCUUCGAGCAUUUGGCAUACCCGGGCUGGUGAAACUUGGCCGCUCCUGAGAUACGUUAACCAUUCUCUUCUCCUCCAGUCCCGGAAGCGAAAGUCUUGCACUGCAUUCCCGAAUUUAAACUCAAAAAACUUGUAAGCGAUCAAUCCACGGCUUGCAAAACGGAUCAAAAUUAUAAUGAGAUGACAUGAGCAUGCACAAACCUUGCGAACGCACUGGCGAAAUGUCUACACUCUCCUCUCAUGGGACAUGCAUUGCAGUUCGGCUUGCUUUUCGUACAGAAAACCUGCAAUGUUUCCGAAAGAGCUCGUGUUUGAUUCCAAGCUUCUCAUCAAAAUAUGGAGCAUAAAUGGGAAGGAUGAAAUGGAAUACUCACCUUUCCGAACGUGAUCAACUGGUAAUGCAAUUCGUACCUGUCAUUUGGUAUCUCAUUAGAUAUUUCGCUCAAAUUUAGAGUAUAUGUAGACAAAACUAAAAAUAGUGGGUUUUUGUGUUUACAGUGUUUUCUGGUCAAGUUUGCACAGUCGAGGCCAUAGAUACUUCUGAAUCGUGUCCAAUAUAGGGUACCUGCAGCAAAAUAUGUUGUUAAUGCCUCGCAACAACGAAUGCACUUGUAAGAGUAUUCGGGUCACCGACGCAUACAUUUCGAGUAGAUGCAACUGAAGCGACUCGGGUAACGGUUGCAGCGGUACCCAUCCAAGUCGAACGGCGAUUCGCCCAACAUUAGUGUCAACCUGAUAUUUGGUAAAAAAGUGGACACGUUGUGUUAGUAAAAGAAUUUAUUUACCGAUUUUAAAAGUUGUUACUAGUUGAAACCUACAGGGAAAGCUAGGUGAUGCAGCGUUAAAAGCCGUACACACUCCACACUUUUCAGCCCUAGUCCGUUAAAGCUCAGCAGGUACUCUCUACAAAGAGUAAGUUAGGUCUCACAUAUCAUGAUCAAAUGAACCAAACACCAUGCCUUUACACUUAGAUUUCGGCGGUACUUACUUGGCUCUAUCUGGAUGAACAUCUCUUAACCACUCAAGAUCGACGCUUCCAUGAUAGCUUACCACUUUAUCAAGAAACUCCUGCAUUUAGUGAACGAUCGGUGAUAAUAAAAUUACAUGUGUUUUAGGAUUUUAACAACAUCUAACUGGUUUGUUUAGCUGUACAAAUCGCAAGCAUGUACCUUGAUGCGUCCUGCAAGCACUCUGUUCAUCCCGCGUGCUUUGAUUGUCUCGGAAAUCUCACUCACAUCUGCUGACCUUACAGCUUCCCAGUCAACCGAGUCCAUCGUGUUCUCUGCUCUCUCCUUCUUCCUUCCAUUCGGCUCAGCAGUUCUUCUCAAUGCUUCCCAGUCAGCAUCGUCUCUGAUCUCGUCGCCAACCCUUCUGCUCUUCGCCUUCCUCUUAGCAGCAUUUAUAUCUUUGACCGCUUUACCAUUCGAUACGUUUUUCACUUCUUCCUUCUGUGGAAAGUAUUUAACAGAUCCUCCUCCCUCGGUUUGGAUACACACACUCGAUGUCUUGUCAGACACGUUCGGACUCUGAUGAUGUAGCACAGUAGUAGAUCCGAAUCGAGGCGUCUCCAGGAGUUCGACAAAAGAAGAACUGCCAUGAAAUUCUGUUCCAUGAUAUUUUUCUUUAGCUUCGAGGAGUAACUAACUAAUCGAACUUUUACCCCUAAAUAUUGUCGGUACAGAUGUUCCGAAGUUGACUGUUCGUCUUGGUAGAUUCCAUAGUAAUGAUCUAGGCACCUCGAUUGGAUUCAUACUAGUCUCGUGGUCUGCAAAUACCUGCAAGGAAAAUGUAUGUUACUUCUACUGUUGUACAACCCAAUCUAGUUAAAAUCUCGAUGCUAAUCUUAAAAUCUUAAGAUUUUACGACUUCCCUUAUAGAGAAGGGUCGUGAUUUCACUACAAACUCAGUGGACAUUAGAAUUGGGUGAAAUUGCGAUCAAGUUGGCACAAGUUUUCGAAUUUUACAUAAAAUCACAAUUUUAACUACAUUGGUAGAAAUUUGUGUACCUCGUUCACUUGAAAGUAUGUUCCAUUGAGGGGAAAGCUUCCUCGCAUGGCUGUUCGACACGGUAUCUGUUUCUCAGGGUACGGGCGAUUAAUUAGCAAGCAAGCCACAUGGAUACUGAAAUUUGACAGUAAUAGUAGUGAAAGUUCAUGUUCUUACAAGAAUGGUCCCUCGAACUACUUGACGUCUAGCUUCCGAAUAGCUGCUGCAUGAGGAACAUGUCCCUUCGUCGCAUAGUUGGUCUUGCGAUUGCGAGGUACAUGUUCUUUCAGGUGUUUUGAUAGAGUCUGCUGUUUCACCUGAGAUCAGUAAAGGUUUUCAGAGGUUUGUACGUAGAUGACCUUUAAUCUUUUAUUGUUCAUAAUGAAAAGUUUCACUUACCUGGUGUCCAUAUAGCAAAGAGAUACGGAGAUGGAUCGUCGUCUUCUCGCUUGUCCAGCUACACCAGAAUAAAAAAAAGACUAUACUAACCUUACUGUUGUUACUGAAUGAAAUGACUUUCUGAACAAUGCAGAAGGAUUAACUUACCCCUUCAACAAGAGGGUGCGAAUCCGAAAGUUCGUAUCUGCAAAAUUGCAAAAUCACAGCAUGCAUUAAUGAUCAGGAUUUCGAUCCAGCUUUUCGUAGCAUGCAUGAAAUGAAAACUUACACUCGAUGCUCUGUUCGUAGUCGGCUAAUGUUCUUGAGCUUGGGGGGAGGGAUGUAAGUAGCCUCCGUAGCCAUAGCGACCAAGUCCAGCGACAUGUCUCCAUCGUGAAGAUCCAUGUUCUGUUUUAUAUACGUCGCUAUAUUCUGAGCAAGCUCCCGUACGUUCAACGUAAUUGUAGGGAUUUCGUUCAACUUGAUCAUGGGGAUCUCGUCGGGAUCCUCGUAAAAGGCAUCUUCGAUAUCAUGCGGUGUGGGCUGGGUGAAGAGAUCCUCGAUAUCCCCGAUAUCAGGUAUCGAGUGUUGGGGGGUAGUGCAGACCGGUUCUGGCGAUGAUGGUUCCUCGAUUAUCGGCUCACAGUUCUCCCUCAAUUUUACCGCUGAAAGCUGCAGAUUCUCUCGUUCGGUCACGUUUGAUGCUGGCGUGGAUUCUGUUGAGU